UCGGAUAUGUGUUAUGUGUUGGUUGAUGUUGGUUCCGGACUUUGAAAAGUUAAUUGAUAAAUCGAAGCAUGUUUAAUCAUAUUGUUUGAAAAUAAAUUUGGGGACGGGAAUCGAAAAAAUUGAUAAAAGUAAAUAUUUGAUAUUUUUACAUUGUUGAUGUUGAAUGCGGUAUGUUGUCGAGCGGGUAGGCAAAUAGCAAGUUCGGGUAGGCAAAUUUUAAAACUUGUUAUUUUGGGUGAAUGUUGGAAUGUGCGUG
rnacentral:lncRNA from 1 species